rnacentral:lncRNA from 1 species
UGGGAUUAGCGUAUUUUGGGAGUUCUGUGAUUAUAUAAAGAAACUCUAUAGGAUAAGACCUCAUUUCCAGUAUCAGCUCUAAGAAUAUCAUGUCACAAUGUACCAAUGUAAUUAAAAAUCCACUCGCUCUGUGAGAUAGCAACUUUACAGUUAUAAACUUUGGGAGUUUCCCUGACAUCUACAGGGUUCUUUCUAUCCCACAGAGAGGAUCAGUGUGUUUUCAGAGUUUGUCUAGAUCCAGUCUCCCAACAGCAAAGGUAAUCUGUGAUGGUUUAUGUAUUAGUUAGGGUGACCAUACUACACGGGGCAGAGUCAAGUAGUUAAUUGUAAGAGUUUUUCGGGUCAGGUUGAGUGUUUUUUGCACACUUUAAACUCAGUUAGUCUAGGCUACACAAACUCAAAACUUCCAUACAAAAUCCCUGACAUUUGAAAGAUUUUAUAAAUUCCCCUGGACAAGGCCGGACAGCCCCCCCCCCCUCCAAAAAAAAAAAAGGGACAUGUCUGGGUAAAAGAGGACGUUUGGUCACCCUAUAUUGCUUUUAGUUCAUGGUAUGAUUUUUGUUGUUAGUUGACUGUGCACAAUAAGGGUUGCCAUCUUUGUUUUGGUCUGUCGAACAGUCAGAGGCAGUAUCUAGGAUCAGCUGACCUGUAAAGGACCAGUGAGAGGCCUGAGUGGCCUUGACAGGUUUCAUAGUCCGCUAUGGUAUAAAAAUACUACAUGUUCAACUGUUUUGUAUGAUAUUGCAUUUCUGAAGAAUAAAAAAACUAAUAAAAAAUAAUAUUUAAAAAAGUUAUCUCAAAACUCUAAUAUAAGUAGAGCUUUGCUCUUUCUAUGUCCCAAGAUUUCCACAUCAGAUUUUUUUAAUUUCAUUAAUUGUGCCAAUUUUUAUUUUAAGAUAUUAAAAACUGUAGCUUUAAAAGAGUUUAAAAACAUCAACUUAAGUGUGUCGGAUCAUUAUUUUUGUUAAAUAAAAUCGCUUUUGAUUUUGCUUUUGCUGUUUCCUAAAAAUAAAUCAUAUCUAUCUAUCUAUCUAUCUAUCUAUCUAUCUAUCUAUCUAUCUAUCUAUCUAUCUAUCUAUCUAUCUAUCUAUCUAUCUAUCUAUCUAUCUAUCUAUCUAUCUAUCUAGGUAAAUGUAUGUUCUAUUUUAAACACUGAAAAAAAACCUCUACCUGCAGUGACAGCUCAGCUCGAAGACUUUUUUUUUGGCAGCAUUUUAAACAGCCUCUCACACUCCAGAUAUCGUCCUCUUGCUUUAGUUUCUUCCUCAAUUUUGCUGACAGCCAUCCACUUGGCCUCGUGUGGCCAAUUUUGGCCUCUUCUGCCGCUCAGUCUGGAAAAUAAACCCUGGGCACAAUGAGCUGAAUUUGCCCAAGUAUUUGUGUUUGGGAUCAUCAGAUUAACCUCUCCAUCGAUGAAUGUGGCAGCCAGGAUGCAGCUGCUGCCUCCUAAUGAGGACCAGAGAGGCCCCGGGCCGGAGUAUAACACAUGCAUAACCCCUCUAUCUUUACUCCAAGUGUGAAUUAAAAAUCAACGAUUUACUCUCUCUUCCCUUUUAUGGUAAUUCACCUGACAUCUCCAGUUCACAUCCUAUUCUAUAAGUCUCCACAGACUUUGUCCUUAUUUAACCCCUAUACUGUAAGAAAAGUGUUUCUAUUGGGCGAAAGUAAGGACAUGAAAAACAGCCUGUUUUUCCUACAGGUUUUCAAAGCUUCCACUAGAUGGCAUAGCUGCGUCACUUUACACAUGCCGUCCAGAGGAAUCCCAGUUGCCUUCAUCAGUGAAGCAUGAUAGAUUUGCCAGAUGUUCCUGUAAACCUCUAGAUGAGCUGAAAUGAAAGUGUUUAUGUCUGCAGCCCCCAAAGCUGAAUGUACAGAGUGUGCAGAUUUGCUGUUUUGGUCUUUAAUCUUCCUUUGUGUCUGGGGCAAUAACAAUGUAUGUAAUGAUCUAGCUGUAAUGAUACCACUUAUCUUAAUAAAGAAACAGCCAGACAUUUUUAUUAUCCAGCCUGAGAAUGGUAUGUUUCUUUUAUUACUGUCAUUCUUAUUGAGAAUGGUGUUAAAUCAAUUUUGCUGUAAGGGAAAAUAAAUUUAAAGGAAGGAAAAUGUCAUAUACCUCAGCGUAAAAACUAAAAAAAUGACUCAGGAUGGCACUUAACGGGAGAAAUUUGAUACCAAAACAACAUUUACAGUGUUGAAAUGUCGAACUGCAUUAGACUUACUGGGAUUGAGACCAUUAAAGGGUCACAAGAGCUGAUUUAUAAGUUACACAUAUUUUUCAUACUGGUCAUAUUUUUCAUACUGUUUUUGGAUAUGAAUUUUUAUGCAUGUUAUUUACCCCCCAUCACGCCAAAACGAUGCUCUAUGUUGUUUAUCCAAUUCCAAUAAAAUUCACUCUCAUUAGCAGUCGCCAAAUGUCUACACAGAGAAAGUUCAAAGAGUGGAUAAUCAUGCAGGCCAAAGUAUGUUCAUCACCCAACAUGUAAUUUACAUUUUUCUGUCUUGUUUUUCCUGACAGUCAUUCCUGCCCUCUAUUUCCUCAUCUGUAUUCUAUUUCAUCAUAUCCCCUCUCCAAUUCUUCUUCCUAUUCUCCUCUUCAUUACUAUAUUGAUGAAAAUCAUUCCUCCUUUGUUUUUAACCCACAAAUCUGAACAUUUAAGGAGAAUAAUCCUCCCAAUCAACUCAUGAGUCUGACUCCAAACAGGUGUGCAAACCACUGCUGACUCUAAUGAGGCGACCUGAGCAGGUUUCAAUGUGUCUGCUAUUGUUAAGUUGUUGUACCAUUUAAAAUAAACACAUUCCCAAUUCCCCCUGCGUUCUUUGGGUUUUUUUUUUAAAGGAGUUGCAAUUUUUUCAUUGGGUUCACAGUUUUGCACCCAUAACAAAACAAAUCAUCAAAACAAACCUUAAUUAUUCAAACAGCAUUAUGUGUGAUCAAUAGAAAUAUCCCACAGAGCUGCUACUCCUUUGUCAUCACACAUAAAUUGAGGCUUACAUUCAUAGUAAUCCAUGAAAUUUAUAAGUGAUAUUAUGUUUAUUAGUUUGUGCAUUAAAUUGAUUGCAUUAUUAGAGAAAUUAUUCUGUUUAUUUAUCAUUGACGUUGAGAAAUGUAUCACAAAGGCAUAUGGAUGCCCACUGUAAGUCACCACAGACCAGCUACAUCAGACAUGUCCCAAGUCUGGCCAAGGGGCCAAUCACAGCUUGAGAUCCAGUUUUAUAAAGCCCCCAGCUUCCAGCUAGCUUCCAGUAUAGUUAGUGGUGUAACAGACAGAAAAGACAAUACUACAGAAGUAUUUAUUUCAGUUUUUAUGUGUUGACAGAAACUCUGCAGUAGUAUAGAGUCAUUUUGAUAAAAUCCGUCAUUAGAGCACUGAUGGUAUUAUGGCGACCUACUGGGCAUCUGCAGAAUUGAGGGGUACUACUCAUGUGUCCAUACCUCUCUGCUGUCCACUGUUCAUGUGUUAUUGCUGUAGCUAUGAUUACAGAAGUGACUGUAAAGACAUAAUAUUACCCAGUCUUCUGCUAUUUCAGAAUAAACAGCAUGUUGGUCCCAAAAGUGAUUAUCUAUCAAACGACACGAGAGAGAGAGAGAGAGAGAGAGAGAGAGAGAGAGAGAGAGAGAGAGAGAGAGAGAGAGAGAGAGAGUUGAAGACCUGCUACAGUGGCACAGAAGGGAACCACAUCCUGAAUUUAGAGUAACUUUAUAUUUUCUUUCAAGCGCAAACACAAAUCUGAAAUAACUCCAGUUAUGUCAUUUACAUAAGCUAGACCUUGGUAUCACUAAACACUGGACCCUCAAAGAUAAACCAUCAUUUAAAAACUCUCAAAAUCAAUACGUAGUCUGGUUUAUGCAAACAUAUGGGGAACAGAUAUCUUCAACACUAGGUCAGACUAAGUGAAGACUAAACAUUCACAGGUGUUCCUUCUUCAUGUUUGUCCUUAUUUUUCUAAACACAUGUUUUUUAUCUUUCCUCAAAGCUGUAUCAGUUUUCAUGCUUUCAGGUAACAGCGUCUGUGUGAUAUUAAAUGUUAAAGGUUACAGUCAUAUUUGGAGCAACAUAUCCAGCAGCUUUGGAUUUUUGCACAAUCCAUUCUUCAUGUAUCACUCAUCAACCAUUCCUGUCACGUGAUCCGACACAGGAUCUGUCAUUAAAUCAAUAAAACCGUCACGGCGCCGUCUCCAGCUGUUUGCCUGAUGUUAAUCCAAGCAUGUGAGUGACGCUUACCCUCUGAGUGUUUACUGAUAAUUUUCACUGACUUUUAAAACUGUGAGUGAGAAUCUGUGACCCGUGCUGAGUUCAUGGAAGGUGAUCUUCUCCGCCUCCAUCAUCCUCAGCACCCCUCAAAGAUUAGCACAAACAGGACAUGUUUACAUGAACUCAUACAGUAUGACAGCUGCCUGUCAAUCAAACCCUGGCUGCUGCAGAGGCGCCAAGCGUCCCCCUGGCAAAUCCUGGCUGCUGCAUGUCAUUACUUGCUCCUAUUGUUUUGUGCUCCAGCAAAGCAUCAAGGAGGUCAGAGGUCGAUGACCUUGUCAUUGUCACAUACAAGGUCAUGCAAUUACUGAACCAUGUUACCUUCACUUUAUUGGUGGAGCUGUGUACUUGCACUCGAAUCUUGGCAGAAAUAAGAGCAUGAGCGGGAAUCUAUCUGCAGAUUCAUGAGAAAUACCAUAGAAGUGUAAAAGUUAUUGACAUGAACACAUUCAUCACAGCGAGUUCAAGGAUUCUCACCCAUUGUUUCAGCUUUGAUUGCUUACCAAGAUCUUUGGUGGUAUUUCCUCUUGUUUUUGAACAUUUCACACUUAAGCUUGUCAUUUUCCAGAAGUUAUGCGGUUACUCAGUCUGCAGAGGGAAUAUUUUGCAGCAGCAGGACAUGCAUUUGUAAUACCAAGCAAACGCACACAUGCACACACACUCAAAGGUAUGUGGAAAACAUUCAGGAGGUAACAGUUCAACCUGCAAUUAAAACACAAUGGGUAUUGUGCAAAAUGUUUCUGUGCUCUUUAUCUGCAUACCUCUCCGUUUCCCCCGCCGACCCUGGCUGUACAGGAAACUGUCACAAUGGCUAAUAAAUUGUCCAGCCGAUCAAUGAGGCAGCCAGGAGCCGGGAGGGGAGCGGAUACAGUCAGUGUUUACUCAGGGAGAGGGAGCGUUUUAGUCCUGAAAACAUACAAGUCACAGACACAGUCACGCAAACAACAUACUUCAGCUGGGAGCUGCAUGGAUCAAUCAGAACCCUGUCAGAUAUCAAUUAUUAAAAGACACGUACACACACAUGUAUUUACUGUAAGAGGAGAAGACAGCUUAUCUGCUUCAUGUUUGUGUUCCUGUCAGCUGUCCAUAAACCAGCAGCAGGGCCAUGAUAAGAAGAGUCAGACCACAUGAGUGGAUGUGAAGUUGGCCCCUUUUCUCUUAUCGGGAGCACAAUGCUGCUCUGACAUGACAUCAUAGAGAGGAAGAGCCCUCUCCACCCUCUGCUCUGCCCCUGAUACACGCUGUUACAUCACAGAGGCCUUCCUGUCUUUACGUCCCAGCUGAACUGAAGGUUUCCUCCAUCACGGUGAACACACUGGAGACAGACAGGCAGACAGACAGACAGACAGACAGAAGCAGCUUUCUCACACACGUAGAGAAAAAAGAGGGGAUACUUUAUGUGUUUGAGGAAAUCAGAAGGAGGGAAAAUGAAGAAAGGUGUUGAUUGGAUUACUGAAGGUGAUAUUUUACACACAUGGCAGAUUUUAAACCAGACGGUGUUUGAUUGUAAAUCCAGAAAGGAAUCAUGAAAGAGAAAACCGAUUUGGGGUUAGCAUAGUGCCAUUUUCGUAUGGAAAAAACAACAACAAUGAGAUUAGUGUGGGUAUUAUUUAAUGAGCAGACUAUCACAAACAAUUUUAUUCACACAAAUAGAUUAAAAUGAAGGCUUUAUAAAAGAUGAAACUGUCUGAAUCUUCAAUUUAAAACUUUAAUUUAAAGGAGCAACUUUAAUUUGUGAAGAAGAUUAUAUCUUGGUUAGUUUAUGUCAUACACAGUGUUGUAUAUAAGAGAGGUCAAGGAGGAGGUAAAAAUAGCUAAGAAAGUUUAUUAUUUUUUAAGAUUUAUUUUAAUUUCUGUUUUUGUUUUUUUUCUUAUUUCAGUUUGGUUUUGAUAUUUUUUUAAUGGGUCGGUUUUUGCUUUACUUCUUUGUUGUUGUUUUUUGUUUGUUUAUUUUGGGUAUGCAUAGUCAUGUUAGAUUCUAUUUUUGUAUGUCAGGGAAAACAUCCUCUAAACAUUCAACACUGUGUAGAAAAAAUGAAAAACAAACAUCAUCUUAUGUGGUUAUCUCCCUGUCAGAGGCAAAACUUUUAUCAAAUUACAUGGCUGGUGUAACAACACUGAUGCAAUAAUUAACUACAUGUAUUGGUGAGUGGACUCAGAUACUGAAAGCCACCCCAGCAGUCUCAGAGCUGAGGUUGGGCUACCCCAGUCAGAAAGGUCUGGGCACCUCUGCAUGUCGGGAAAUAUGAAAAUGUUAUUUUAUCAAUAGAUGGAUCAGUGCUGAUCAGAGGGCUCUGCUGAUGGAUUAGAGGGACUACAGUGAAUGAUCAUCACAAUGUGGGUAUAUAUUUUUCGAGGGAUCAAAAUAACAGAGUAUUUAAAAAAAAAAAAGUUAAAACCAGAGUUUUGAGUCUCUGUGACGUCAUAAAAGUUUGUUUUAUUCUAUUUUUUCAUGACUUACCACCUCUCCUCCUCUUUCCUCCACAGUCACUGACCUGAAUUGAAAAUGAAAUGCAGUAAUC